AUACGGAGGGUGCAAGCGUUAAUCGGAAUUACUGGGCGUAAAGCGCGCGUAGGCGGCUCGAUAAGUCGGAUGUGAAAGCCCCGGGCUCAGCCUGGGAACUGCAUUCGAAACUGCCGAGCUAGAGUUUGAUAGCGGAGAGUGGAAUUCCACAUGUAGCGGUGAAAUGCGUAGAUAUGUGGAGGAACACCAGUGGCGAAGGCGGCUCUCUGGAUCAAAACUGACGCUGAGGUGCGAAAGCGUGGGUAGCAAACAGGAUUAGAAACCCCGGUAGUCC
rnacentral:rRNA from 1 species